UACGUAGGUGGCAAGUGUUGUCCGGAUUUACUGGGCGUAAAGAGCGCGCAGGCGGUCGUUCAAGUCGCGUGUGAAAGCCCCCGGCUCAACUGGGGAGGGUCACGCGAUACUGAUCGACUCGAAGGCAGGAGAGGGUAGUGGAAUUCCCGGUGUAGUGGUGAAAUGCGUAGAUAUCGGGAGGAACACCAGUGGCGAAGGCGACUACCUGGCCUGUUUCUUGACGCUGAGGCGCGAAAGCUAGGGGAGCAAACGGG
rnacentral:rRNA from 1 species